GUAGGUGGCAAGCGUUGUCCGGAAUUAUUGGGCGUAAAGCGCGCGCAGGUGGUUCUUUAAGUCUGAUGUGAAAGCCCCCGGCUCAACCGGGGAGGGUCAUUGGAAACUGGGGAACUUGAGUGCAGGAGAGGAAAGUGGAAUUCCACGUGUAGCGGUGAAAUGCGUAGAUAUGUGGAGGAACACCAGUGGCGAAGGCGACUUUCUGGCCUGUAACUGACACUGAGGCGCGAAAGCGUGGGGAGCAAACAGGGAUUAGAUACCCUGGUAGUCCACGCCGUAAACGAUGAGUGCUAGUGUUGGGGGGGUUUCCCGCCCCUCAGUGCUGCAGCUAACGCAUUAAGCACUCCGCCUGGGGAGUACGGUCGCAAGACUG
rnacentral:rRNA from 1 species